rnacentral:lncRNA from 1 species
UUUUUUGUAUCUUCAAAUUCCUUGCUGAGAUGUUCCAUUUUUCUUUUGGUUGCACAGUGCUUAUCCUUGCUUGUUGGAGCAUUUUUAUAAUAGUUGAAUUAACAUUUUUGUCAGAUAAUUUGAACAUCUUUGUUAUCUUGUUUUUAGUGUCUGUUGGGUGUUUGAGAUCUUCCUGGUUCUCUGAGUGCUUAGUACUUUUAGACUGUAUCAUGGAGAUUUAAAAUAUUAUAUUUUGGCUACAAGACCAAGUGUUGUUUAGCCCCUAUGGGGCAUGUUCAUACUGUUUUAGCAGGUGGUUCCGUCUGCAAGUUCCCAACAGCCUUCUGUAUUUUUGGUUCCAGUGUCAGUUCUGCUUUCAAAGCUUUCAUAGUGCUAUUUGGAUCUGUCUUGCGUCUGUGCCAAGCUGUGGCCAGUCUGGGACCUGCGUACUGUUGUAUUCUUUGGUUCUGUUCUCAACAUCUGUUUAGGGUCAAAUCCACACAUGCACCACUCAUGGGUGGUCUCAGGAGUUUAUAAACAAUUUUAAGGGAUCACUUUUCUGAAUUUUUCCCUCCCAUGACCUCCUUUGUACUUUCUGGUUCCCUGGGACUCCCAUUUUCAAUCCCCUGGCACAAAACCUUGGGCUUUAGUUACAUAUUCUCCACACACCCACCUUGAUGGUGCCUGGAUCUGUGUCCAGGGCUUAGCAGUUGAAGAACAGAAAGGGAAAAAAGGCACUGGCUUUGACCACUGCUUGGGAUCCCAACUCCUCUAAUUGCAGAAGUAAUUCAAUCUGAAUUUUAGGCUCUUGCAGUCAACUGUUGCUACCUCCAGCAAAACCCCCAUAGUACCCCACAGAGCUGGGACGCAAGAGAAUGAAAAAAGGAGGAGAAUGCUAAAGAAAAAUUACUGAGUGCUCUCUGUGCUCCUCUAGUAGGGAAAGAUAUACAGAUGGUCCCUUACUUACAAUGGUUUGACUUUAGAUUUUUCAACUUUAUGAUGUUGGGAACGUGAUAGGUAUUCAGUAGAAACCAUACUUUGAAUUUUAUUUUAUUUUUAAAAUAUUUAUUUAUUUAUUUGCUUUUUAGGGCCACAGCUGUGGCAUAUGGAAGUUUCCUAGAGGUGAAAUCAGAGCUACAGCGGCCAGCCUACACCACAGUCAUGGCACCUGUGGGAUCCGAGCCACAUCUGCAACCUACACCACAGCUCAUGGCAAUGCCAGAUUCCUGAUCCACUGAGCGAAGCCAGGGAUCAAACCUGAAUCCUCAUGGAUUCUAGUCUGGUUUGUUUCCACUGCAGCACACAGGGAAUUCUCAUAUACCUUGAAUUUAAAAUUUUGAUCUUUUUCCAGGCUAGUGCUAUGUGAUACGAUCCUCUCUCCCCAUGCUGGGCAGUGGCAUCGAGCCGCUGCUCUGAGUCAGCCAGGUGAUCCUGGGCUAAACAUCCCAUUCACUCACCAUCAUUCUGUUCUCAGACACCUGUUCUGGUUUUCACUUUCAGUACAGUAUUCAUUAAAUUACAUGAGACAGUUAACACUUUAUUAUAAAAUAGGCUUUGUAUUGGGUAGUUUGGUCCAACUGUAGGCUCAUGUAGGCAUUCUGAGUAUGUUUAACGUAGGCUAGGCUCAUGGGUUAGGUGUAUUAAAUGCAUUUUCAACUUUUAUAGUAUUUUCAGCUCUGAGUGUUUUUUCUGUUUUGUUUUGCUUUUUGCUUUUUUUUAGGGCCACAUAUGGAGGUUCCCAGGCUAGGGGGUCCAAUCAGAGCUAUAGCGGCUGGCCUAUGCCACAGCCACAGCAACAGAUCCAAGCCUCGUCUGUGACCUACACCAUAGCUCAUGGCAACACCAGAUCCUUAACCCACUGAGCAAGGCCAGGUAUCGAACCUGCAACCUCAUGGUUCCUAGUUGGAUUCCUUUCUGCUGUGCCACAAUGGGAACUCCUCUUUCUUUCCUUCUUUCUCUUUUUUCUAACUCUGGAUGUGUUUGUAGAGAUAGAACGCCAUCAUAAGUCGAAGAAGACCUAUAUUUAUACUCCUCUGGCAGAGCUAGAAGGCUUCUCCUGGAACUUUAUUCUGUGCUGAUGCCCAUGCGUGUGUUAAGUUCAGAUCUGGGGACACUGCAGAAACCCCAAGGAGCUGUUCCCUGCCUUUAUUCGCUGGGAGAGACGGGUGCAGUGUGCUUGUACCAUCUUGUCCAGAACCACAAACUCUUAAGAUGUUUUGAUCAUGAUAAAUAACUUGCAAAUUUUAUUUCUUAUUUUGCCUUAAAACGCAAGAGCACUAACCUCAUUUUGAGGUGGAUUUGCAGACUUCAGGUUUUUUCGAGAUCCUGUCCAGUUUUUGUUUUUGUUUUUUGUUUUUUUUUCCCCAAGCCAGAACACCUAUAGGCAGUGGUGUAUUAGAUUCCGUCAGUUCUGUCUCAUAGAGCUUUUGGGGAUGAUGGAAAUAUUCCACAUCUGUGUAGCCAUUCACCUCAUGUGGCUCUUACGCACUUGGCAUGUGGCUAGUUGAACAGAGUAACUGAAUUUUAAAACUUCUUUAAUUUUAGUCCAUUUAACUUUCAGGAGCCCCACAUGGCUAUUAAAGGAGCCCACCGUGGCUCCUUGGCUGUACAAUACUGCAGCCCUAAAGCAUGCAGCUGGCCAACCUGGAUUUGGAUCCCAGGGAAGAGCAUCUCUGUUUCUUCCUCUGCCAGUUCACAGGAAAGCCUCUUUGCUGUGGCUCCACUGUUGUAACCCAACACCUCGCUGGAGUGUUUUGAUUUAGGUAAUUCAGGAAGUGGCCGUUUUUCAGCAUACGUUGCUAAAUUUGGAUAGCGUCUGUGUUUGAGGCAUAUCCUGUGGAGCCGUUUAAAGAAAACAUCUUCUGUAGUACCAUUUUGGGUGUGGGGCUCUAUCGAACAGCUCCGGCAACUCGGAGUAAGCGGUUCUCCUUUUAGAUGUCCCUUUAGGGCAGUUGACUGUCCCCUGAAGAAGCCAGCGUGUUUUCAUUGUACCUUCACUCAUGCUUCCAACAGAAAAUCAAAUCAUUCGUCAGUGAUCUCAUCAUUGUGCAUUUAGAAAAAUGUCUUGGGCCCCUAUUUUGAAGCAUUCUUUUUGCCUUUGUCUAACUUUUAAAGACUUUUCUUCAAAAAGCUAUCUCUUUCUAACUUAGUGCUUAUGUUUGCCAAAUGGCUUUCGGUUGCUUUGUAUGCUUUUACGAAUGAAAUGACUCUUCCGUGCUCCCAAUUUUACUCCUGCAAAGUCAGCGUUUUGGUAUUUCGAUUUGGAAAGAGGUAAAGAGGAGGAAAGUUAAUGUGAUUAAAGUUGCCUUAUUUUUCAGUUAAAAGAAAAGGCUUCCCAACGGAGUCAUUUGAUUCUUUGAGUCUGUAAUCGGGGGACCGUUUUACUCAGCUGAGGUGUCACUUACAGGGCGGUGUCACUGUCAGUGGCAGGAAGAGCCUGCUGGUUGGAAGUGUGCAAACUCCCUAUUUACUCCGAGUGAUGGCUCAAGAACAGUGAGUGUCUUCAUGUGGUUUUUCCUUUGUUGUCCUAGGAAAGAGCUGGUGGAGAUCUUUUAAGCUUUUCAUUGCCAUGUAGAAUUACGAUAUUUGAAAACUCUAAUGACAGAAAGUUUUGCCUUCGCUCUUACUCUGGGAAUUUUGUAGGUCAUAGAGAAGGGAGUCAAAGACUUUGCUGUUGGGGGAGAGUAUUUCGCAAAGCACGCAGAUUCCUGGCUAAGGGAAAUACUGUGGCCACGUGAAUUUCCCUUCGGUGGAAUGCUGUGGCUAAAGCCCUGUCAGUGAAUUUUAUCUUCUUGAACGGUCCUCCCCCGCUUCGGAGCAGACAGAAGGGAGAUGUAAUGGGGUGUGUGUAUCAUUAACAGAAAUAAAACAUACGGUAUAUUUGGAUUUACCAAGUUCUGGUUUAUCUGUUACUUUUGCUUUAUUCUGUUAUUGCUGAAAUGGUCUUUUUUUUUUUUUUAAAUGGCCCCACCUGCAGCACAUGGACGUUUCAGGGCCAAAAAUGGAAUCUGAGGUACAGCUGCAACCUAUGCUGCAGCUGCAGCUGCAGCCAUGCCAGAUCCUUUAAUCCACAGUGCUAGGCGUGGGACCAAACCCAAGCCUCCACAGCGACCCGAGCCACUGCAGUCAGGUUCUUAACUUACUGCCUCACAUGGGUUAAGGAUCCGACAUUGCCAUGAGCUGUGGUAUAGGUUGUACACGCAGCUUGGAUUUGGCAUUGCUGUGGCUAUGGUGUAGGCCGACAGCUGUAGCUUUGAUUAGAACCCUGGCCUGGCCUGGGAACCUCCAUAUGCCGUGGGUGCAGCCCCAGAAAGCAAAAAACAAAAACAAAAACAAAAACCUGUUUCCUUUAGCUGUUGCCUCCAUCUCUCCACCCCCCCACCUCCAGCCCUAAAAGUCCAUGAAUAUAUUUUGUCUCUAUGGAUUUAUCUGUUCUGGACAUGACAUAUAAGUGGAAUAAUACAGUAUGUGUGCCUGGCUUUUUUUCCCCUCUUAGUAUCAUGUUUUCAAGGUUCAUUUGCAUUGUGGCAUGUAUCAGAACUUCAUUCUUUUUAAUGGCUGGAUACUAUUCCAUUGCAUGGAUAUACCACACUUUAUCAGUAUAGGGACAUUUAGGCUGUUUCUACUUUUUGACUUUGAUGAAUAAUACUGCUGUGAGCAUUCCUGUACCAGUUUUUGUGUGGACAUAUGUUUUCAUUUCUCUUGGGUAUAUACCUUGGCCUGGAAUUGCUGGGUCAUAUGGUUACUAUAUGUUUAAUGUUUUCAAGGACUGCCAGUGUGGUUGCCACAGCAACCACCGCACCAUUUUAUAUUCCCACCAGCAGUAAAUGAGGGUUCUAAUUUCUCCAUAUCCUUGCCAACAUUUGUUUUAUGUAUCUUUUUGAUUGUAGUUAUCCUAGUAGGUGUGAAGUAGUAUUUCCUUGUGAUUUCGAUUUGUAUUUCCUGGAGGGUUCAUGACGUCUGACGCCUUUUCAUGCAUUUAUUUGUCUUGUGUUUUAUCAUUGGAGAAAUGACUACUCAGAUCCUCUAGCCAUAUUUUGAUUGAGUUAUUUGUCUUUUUAUUAUUCAAUUGUGUCUGUAUUAGUCCGUGUGGACUGCCGUAACAAAAUACUGCAGAUGGCUUCAACAAUGGGAAUUUACAGCAGAAACUGGCAUAACGUUGUAAAUCAAUUAUACUUUAAUGAAAAUUUUUAAAGCAAUUGAUAGAAAAUAUUCAUACAAACCAAGAAAAAACAAUUUUGGGAAUUUAUUUCUCACAGUUCUGGAAGCUGGGAGUCCAAGAUAAAGGUGCUGGUGUGGUGGGUUCCUGGUGAAGAUUCAGAUCUUUCUGGCUGUGGUUGACCUCCCUGUGUCCUUACAUGGCAGCUCUGGUGUCUCUUUCUCUUCCUCUAAGGACCUCAUCCAAACCCAAUUACCUCCCAAGGCCUCACCUCUAAAUUCCAUCACAUCGGGUGUUAGGCUAGGCUUCAGUAGGUGAAUUUCUGUGUGUGUGUGUGUGUGUGUAUGUGUGUGUGUGUGCGCACGCGCGUGCGCGCGUGUAUGGCAUAAACAUGUAUGGUUAGUCCAUAACCUUAUUCUUUAUAUAUUCUAGGUACAAGCUCCUUGUCAAAUAUAUGAUUUGUAAAUAUAGUCUCCCAUUUUGUGGGUAACCUUUUACUUUCUUGAUCAAGUCCAUGGAAGCACAAAAGAUUUUUAAUAUUGAUGAGAGGCCAUUUAUGUAUUUUUUGUUAUUUUUGCUUUCUUUUUGGUGUCAUAGCUUAGAAACCAUUGCCUAGCUCAAGGUCAUGAAAAUUUAUACCCAUGAUUUCUUCUCAAUGUUUUACAGUUCUUGCUCUUACAUUUAUUUAGGUUUAUGAUUGAUUUUGAGUGCAUUUUUGUGUCUUUUGUAAGGAAGUGAUUCAAUGUCAUUCUUUUGUGUGUGGGUAUCUAGUUGUCCCAGCACCAGUUAAAUUGUCGUGACGGCCUUGGCAAAAAUCACUUGACCAUAAUGUGAAGGUUUAUUUAUGCAUUUUGAAUUCUGUUCCAUUGAUCUAAAUAUCUGUUCCAUGCCAGUACUUCACUCUCUCAGUUGCUGGGACGUAUAGGGUUUUCGACUGUGGUGUUCGAUUUCAAAAUGGUUUUGGUUAUUCUGGGUUCCUUGCAUUUCCACAUGAAUUCUUUUUCCCCUCUUUUUUGGUCACCCUGUGGCAUAUGGAGUUCCCGGGCAAGGGAUCAGAUCCAGGCUCCAGUUGCAAUCUAUGCUGCAGCUGCAGCAAUGCUGGAUCCUUAAACCACUGUGCCUGGCCGGGGAUCGAACCUGUGCCAGCGUUCCAGAGACGCUGACAAUCUCGUUAUGCCAGAGCGGGUUCAGGUCCCCAGGACUUUUGUUAGAAGCUGAUUGGUUUCUGCAAAAAACUAGUUGGGGUUUUGGUAGAGAUUGUGUUCUAGCUAUACAAAACUUUGGGGAGUAUUCCUAUCUUAAACAGUAUUAACUCUUCCAAUCCAUGAGUAUGGGAUGUUUUACCAUUUAUUGAGAUCUUCUGUAGCUUCUUUCAGCACUGUUUUGUAGUUUUCAGGCUUUAAGUUUAUCCUAAGCAUCUACUAUUUUUGAGACUAUUGCUAAGGGAAUUGCUUUUUGUAUUUCAUUUUCAGGUUAUUUAUAGCUAGUGCAUGGAAAUACAGUUGCUUUUUUGUAUGUUAGUUUUGUAUUUCUCUUUUGUAAACUGAUCAUCAAAAUGCUCACAGAUGGCUUAAAUACCACCCUUCUCAAGCUGGCUCUUCUUCCUGACUCCUCAGUUCCUGGUAAGGUCUCUUUCUUCAUCUAGAGAGGAGGAGACAACCCUGGGCGGGAUUCGACUUUUUUCGCCAUCAAGGAGUCACUGGAAGUCGUGUCUCUUACUUUGCUUCUGCUGGAACUCUAGAGCUCCCCUCUUACAGGGAGGAGAAUGGGCUUCACUCCUUGCCCUUUCCCUCUCCCAGAGGUUUAAGGUCUCUGUAAGCUGGUCAGGGGUUCAGUUUUUCCAGAAGUGCCUAAUGAGAAGGGCCUGAGACCCUGAGCUUUCCUGGGGUGGAGGAUGGGGGCGUGUCUCCUGUUUCCUUCUGGUGUCUUCUCAAACCAUCUAGUUGGAAUUUCUACUGGCUGCCCAGAGAAAGGCUUCUUUCCCUGCAGCUGUUUUGGAUAGCAUCCUGGGCCUGUAGGACCACAUUGGCUCUUGCGCCCCUCAAGAGUGAGCUGGGGAGUUCCCGUCGUGGCGCAGUGGUUAAUGAAUCCGACUAGGAACCGUGAGGUUGCGGGUUCGGUCCCUGCCCUUGCUCACUGGGUUAACGAUCCGGCGUUGCCAUGAGCUGUGGUGUAGGUUGCAGACGCGGCUCGGAUCCUGCGUUGCUGUGGCUCUGGCGUAGGCCAGAGGCUACAGCUCCGAUUCCACCCCUAGCCUGGGAACCUCCAUAUGCCGCAGGAGCGGCCCAAGAAAUAGCAAAAAGACAAAAAAAAAAAAAAAAAAAAAAAAAAAA